GCCGCCUUAGCUCAGUGGUAGAGCUACUGUUUUGUAAACAGUAGGUCGUCGGUUCAAUCCCGACAGGCGGCU
rnacentral:tRNA from 4 species